rnacentral:rRNA from 1 species
GAUGAACGCUGGCGGCGUGCUUAACACAUGCAAGUCGAACGAUGAACCUGGAGCUUGCUCUGGGGGAUUAGUGGCGAACGGGUGAGUAACACGUGAGCAACCUGCCCCUGACUCUGGGAUAAGCGCUGGAAACGGCGUCUAAUACUGGAUAUGUGACGUGACCGCAUGGUCUGCGUUUGGAAAGAUUUUUCGGUUGGGGAUGGGCUCGCGGCCUAUCAGCUUGUUGGUGAGGUAAUGGCUCACCAAGGCGUCGACGGGUAGCCGGCCUGAGAGGGUGACCGGCCACACUGGGACUGAGACACGGCCCAGACUCCUACGGGAGGCAGCAGUGGGGAAUAUUGCACAAUGGGCGGAAGCCUGAUGCAGCAACGCCGCGUGAGGGAUGACGGCCUUCGGGUUGUAAACCUCUUUUAGCAGGGAAGAAGCGAGAGUGACGGUACCUGCAGAAAAAGCGCCGGCUAACUACGUGCCAGCCGCCGCGGUAA